GGUGAGAUGGCCGAGCGGUCUAAGGCGCUGUGUUCAGGUUCCACAAGAACCAAGCAACGAUUCGCAGUCUAGAAAUAGGCGUGGGUUCGAAUCCCACUCUCAUCA
rnacentral:tRNA from 2 species